CGUUGUGGGGUACUCGAGUGGCGAACGGGUGAGUAACACGUGAGUAACCUACCCUUGACUUUGGGAUAACUUCAGGAAACUGGGGCUAAUACCGGAUAGGAGUUCCUGCUGCAUGGUGGGGGUUGGAAAGUUUCGGCGGUUGGGGAUGGACUCGCGGCUUAUCAGCUUGUUGGUGGGGUAGUGGCUCACCAAGGCUUUGACGGGUAGCCGGCCUGAGAGGGUGACCGGCCACAUUGGGACUGAGAUACGGCCCAG
rnacentral:rRNA from 1 species